CAGUCCACAACAAUAAAUACAAAAUCACGCCACGUCCGAGUCAUAAUAUUAUAAUCACGCCACGUCUGCCCCACUUCAAUCAAUCCUCGCGAGAUUAGCGUAUAAAAAGGCGCUCGAGAUCUAGAUUUCGGCAUAACGCAUUUUUUGUGUAAAUCUAUUCUUUGUCUUCAUUUUAUUUCACUCCACGAAAACCAACCAAAAUCAAAAAUGGGCGCUGAAAAAGUAUCCAUGAACAUCGUUGUUGUUGGACAAGUCCAAUCUGCCAAGGCCGUCAAAAUCGUCGCCAAGGCCACCCCAGCCACCAGCCAAUCGAUGACCUGUUAAUCAAUAUGUAGUUCAUCUAUUACAAACUCAAAAAUGCCAUAAUCCAAACAAUAUGUGUAAUUUAUAAAUUAUAUGUAUUGACAUAGCUAAAUAAAACAGACUCUUCCGUUAA